CCCCCCCCAAGUCCUUGCCCAUCAGGUAGGUCUGAACCACUGGUCUGCGUGGUUAGGAAAGGAGGAAACGUAAAAUGGAAACGGACUUCAAUGUUUUGUUCGACACACGCUGGUUGCAAACACAC
rnacentral:snoRNA from 1 species